rnacentral:tRNA from 1 species
GGGGACGUAGCUCAACUGGGAGAGCGCCGGCUUUGCAAGCCGGAGGUUGCGGGUUCGACCCCCGUCGUCUCCA